rnacentral:misc_RNA from 1 species
AUCAAAGCUUUAAGGAAAGCUCUUUGUUUUUUGAAAGGGUGCUUUUAUGAGAUAGAGCUUUUUUAGAUAAUGCUGGGGAAGGUUUUCCGGUUUAUCUCGGAGGGCUUGUACCUCAGUUGGUUAGAGCGCGCGCUUGAUAAGCGUGAGGUCGGAGGUUCAAGUCCUCCCAGGCCCACCAAUUUACCUAUCCAUUUGCCUUUAUCCGUUUUUUUGCCGAUUUUUCGUUCCAUUAAAUUUAAGUGUUGGGAGCGGUUUUUAUAAUGAUGAGAAAUCAUGCUUAUAAAAGAAUUCCUUAUAAAAGGCUUGUUUUUAAAAUGUGACGUUUAUCCAUUUCGCUUAGGCAAAAGAAACUUCAAGCGGUCAAAUGCAAAAGGCUUUAAAUUUUGCAAAACACUUUGAAUUUUAAAGUGAUCCAAGUUCGUGAUCUCGAAUUUAAAAGUUUCAAAUGCUUUAUCCUUUUUUGGGGGCCGUAGCUCAG